rnacentral:rRNA from 1 species
GAUGAACGUUGGCGGCGUGCCUAACACAUGCAAGUCGAACGCUAGUAGCAAUAUUAGAGUGGCGCACGGGUGAGUAACACGUAGCUUAUCUACCUCCCAGCGCGGGAUAACGGUUCGAAAGAACUGCUAACACCGCAUAAGCUCACGAGCUAUAGAGGCUGGUGAGAAAAGGCUUAGGUCACUGGGAGCGGGGGCUGCGGCCCAUCAGCUAGUUGGUGAGGAACGGCUUACCAAGGCGACGACGGGUAGGGGACC